UACGUAGGGUGCAAGCGUUGUCCGGAAUUAUUGGGCGUAAAGAGCUCGUAGGCGGUCUGUCGCGUCUGCUGUGAAAACUCGGGGCUUAACCCCAGGCCUGCAGUGGGUACGGGCAGACUAGAGUGCGGUAGGGGAGACUGGAAUUCCUGGUGUAGCGGUGAAAUGCGCAGAUAUCAGGAGGAACACCGGUGGCGAAGGCGGGUCUCUGGGCCGUAACUGACGCUGAGGAGCGAAAGCAUGGGGAGCGAACAGG
rnacentral:rRNA from 1 species